UAGAUAUAGAUUAUGAAUUGUAAUCACUAAUGGGGGUAGAUAAGCUUGGGUUAAAUACACAAAAGCAUUCUCACCAUUCUCUGAAACCAUUGGUUAACAAAGAACCCAUUCACACAACUAUUCAAUGUUCAGCUUAUUUCUUAUCUGACAAGGAUUUGGGAGAAUCUGAUCUGAGUAAAUAUUUUGCCUAUGGCGACUGCUCAUAUUUUGCUUGGGGCUUUACAAUCUAAAGGUCAAACACGGUCAAACACUAUGGUUGUCUAAAGAUUUCCACGCCUAUGUAGCACAACAAA
rnacentral:misc_RNA from 1 species